CUUAAAGCCAGCCACCCCCACGGCAACAUGUACCCCAGCAACAAGAAGAAAAAGGUGUGGAGAGAGGAGAAAGAACGUUUAUUGAAGAUGACCUUAGAAGAGAGACGCAAAGAAUACCUAAGAGACUAUAUUCCCCUGAACAGCAUUCUAUCAUGGAAGGAGGAGAUGAAGGGCAAGGGCCAAAAUGAUGAAGAAAAUACUCAGGAAACAUCCCAGGUGAAGAAAAGUUUGACUGAAAAAGUUUCUCUCUAUAGAGGUGACAUCACAUUGCUAGAGGUAGAUGCUAUAGUCAAUGCCGCAAAUGCCAGUCUUCUUGGAGGAGGAGGUGAUGGGUCAGAGUCCCCUUUAGGACUGAAGCACUCUCCCUUCUGCUGAGAGUUUGGUCAGGCAAUAAUUUUCAGCUGAUUCCUUCUCCAAGAAUUUUCCUCAGAGACAGCUGCCUUGCCUAAGAUUAUGGCCUCUCCCUGAGGAUGGCCUGCCAGCAAUUACUCAUGAUGUAACAUACGAAAGUCCAACUGCCUUGCCUGUAGGUUGGAAAACUCUAAAGGGCUAUUUUCCAGGGAACCCAAACCACAGCACAGCAUUAACACUUACCAUGAGUAAUCCUUAGGAACAUAGGAAUUCUAAUAGUAUAAAUUGUUGCAAUGUCUUUUUAAAGCAAUCUCACAUAAUCAGUUAAAAAGACAAACACGUAAA
rnacentral:sRNA from 1 species